CAGCCGCCACGGUAAUACAGAGGGUGCGAGCGUUAAUCGGAUUUACUGGGCGUAAAGCGUGCGUAGGCGGCUUCUUAAGUCGGAUGUGAAAUCCCUGAGCUUAACUUAGGAAUUGCAUUCGAUACUGGGAAGCUAGAGUAUGGGAGAGGAUGGUAGAAUUCCAGGUGUAGCGGUGAAAUGCGUAGAGAUCUGGAGGAAUACCGAUGGCGAAGGCAGCCAUCUGGCCUAAUACUGACGCUGAGGUACGAAAGCAUGGGGAGCAAACAGGAUUAGAUACCCCCGUAGUCCUGUCUCUUAUACA
rnacentral:rRNA from 1 species